rnacentral:pre_miRNA from 1 species
UCUUAUGGAUGAACAAAGAAAGGAGUUUCCUUAGAUGGAAUCUACUCCUGGUGAAGAUGCUGUGAA